UUAAAAUUGAUUGUUAUAAAUGCAGCUCACAGCUACCAUUCUGAAAAGCUCAUACAUAGUUGAGCCUACAAUCUGAGUUAAGGUUAAAGCUUAGUAUGCUUAGUACUAGGGAACCAACAAUGAAACAAGAGGAAUAAGAGAUAAUAAAAAUGUCAUCCUUUUGAACUGACAGAACAUGAGUUGAGGACCACUAAAACAUAAAUG
rnacentral:misc_RNA from 1 species